AAAUUGAAGAGUUUGAUCAUGGCUCAGAUUGAACGCUGGCGGCAGGCCUAACACAUGCAAGUCGAACGGUAACAGGAAGCAGCUUGCUGCUUUGCUGACGAGUGGCGGACGGGUGAGUAAUGUCUGGGAAACUGCCUGAUGGAGGGGGAUAACUACUGGAAACGGUAGCUAAUACCGCAUAACGUCGCAAGACCAAAGAGGGGGACCUUCGGGCCUCUUGCCAUCGGAUGUGCCCAGAUGGGAUUAGCUAGUAGGUGGGGUAA
rnacentral:rRNA from 7 species